rnacentral:rRNA from 1 species
GAUGAACGCUGGCUACAGGCUUAACACAUGCAAGUCGAGGGGAAACGACGGGGAAGCUUGCUUCCCCGGGCGUCGACCGGCGCACGGGUGAGUAACGCGUAUCCAACCUGCCUCUGACUGAGGGAUAACCCGUCGAAAGUCGGCCUAAUACCUCAUGGUAUCGUCUGCGGGCAUCCAACGACGAUUAAAGAUUUCAUCGGUCAGGGAUGGGGAUGCGUCUGAUUAGCUUGUUGGCGGGGUAACGGCCCACCAAGGCUACGAUCAGUAGGGGUUCUGAGAGGAAGGUCCCCCACAUUGGAACUGAGACACGGUCCAAACUCCUACGGGAGGCAGCAGUGAGGAAUAUUGGUCAAUGGGCGAGAGCCUGAACCAGCCAAGUAGCGUGCAGGAAGACGGCCCUAUGGGUCGUAAACUGCUUUUAUGCGGGGAUAAAGUGAGGGACGUGUCCCUCAUUGCAGGUACCGCAUGAAUAAGGACCGGCUAAUUCCGUG